AUUGAACGCUGGCGGCAGGCCUAACACAUGCAAGUCGAACGAGUGGCGGACGGGUGCGUAAUGUCUGGGAAACUGCCUGAUGGAGGGGGAUAACUACUGGAAACGUUAGCUAAUACUGCAUACCAUCAGAUGUGCCCAGAUGGGAUUAGAUUGUUGGUGGGGUAACGGCUAACCAAGGCGACGACCCCUAGCUGGUCUGCGAGGAUGACCAUCCAGACUGGAACUGAGACACGGUCCAGACUCCUACGGGAGGCAGCAGUGGGGAAUAUUGCACAAUGGGCGCAAGCCUGAUGCAGCCAGGCCGCGUGGAUGAAGAAGUCCUUCGGGUUGUAAAGUACUUUCAGCGGGGAGGCGUUACCCGCAGAAGAAGCACCGGCUAACUCCGUGCCAGCAACCGCGGUAAUUC
rnacentral:rRNA from 1 species